GAUAACUUACUUUUAUGAUGAUUGAUUUUUUUUUUCCUUUUGCUAUCUUGAAGUAAUGAUAAAACAAAAUGAAAGGAAAAUGUCAGUGAGCAAAUAACCACCCACUCACACUUUUCUGACUGACAAGAGCAACGUUGCCCUACACAUUCAGUGUUUAGCAUCAGUGACUAUUUUGUAUACAAGGUAUACAAAUUAUUGUGUAUUGGGUAAACUAACAAAACGUUAUUCUGUAAACUGGG